CACUUGUGCUAGCUGCUGGAGCAAGUCUGAUUUGGGACCUUUGACUUUUACAAUUCCAUUGCCAUUUCUUGCUUUUGGUUUUGUAUAUACUGUGGAUACUUGUGGAACACUGUGGAUACUUGUUGCUUCUGUUUACUGUUGCCUUGUUUUCUCCUGUGCUGCAAACUAACAGUUGUUGUUUAUUUCUUUAGGACAGAAGAAAAUAUUUGCCAUGGCAUCUGAUGGAAGUAACAGAACUCACUUGGCCUGCAAAUUUUGCUUGAAAACCACUGACCGACUCUCUCAACAUCUUCGCAAAGUCUGCAGGAAAGGAGCAAGUGAUGCAGAAAUUGAGGCCCUUGUGGAGGAAUCAAGGUCAAAAAUGAGGAUGUUGGUGAAGAACCUCAGCGUCGUCAAUUAUGAGCAGCUGAGGGCUGGAGCCGAUUCUCAGAAGUCACUGCAAUUUUUCACCAAUUUCCUCGAGUCCAAUGGUUGUUUCAUUAGUGGAAAGCCGGUUGAAGCUGAUGAUGCCAUUCAGAAUCCAGUGACAGAUGCUGAAGAGAUUGAAGAUGAAAUGGAUACAGAACACCCACUUCUUAUGCUGAGCACAUCUGCCAGCAAGAUAUCAUCCAAAAAAGUUAUGGAGGAGGCAGGACUGCACAAAAAACAUUCAGAUGAUUCUCCACUGCUCCAGGCAUUCAGAAGGUACCUGGAGAAAAAAUAUGCAAAAUCCGGAAUCAAACAGGAGGUUCAAAAUGUUUCAAGGUGGCUGUAUUUUGUCAACCCAAACGAAGCUUCGGUUAGCUGCAUACACAACAUUGAGAGGAGCAUGCAGUUCUUUAAAGAAAUUGGAGCUUCGGCAGCCAGCAAGGCGACAUUACGUAACUACAUCGGUGCAGUCAAGAAAUUUAUAAGUUACGUCACCUCAGAUCCUCAACUCUUGGAAAAGGAUUCAUCUCUGCGUGGGUCGAUUGAGUCAUUCUUGAAAAGUAUGAUGGAGGUUCAGAGGACAACAUACAAGGAAAAAUCUGUGGGAAGAAAGGCGACAAAUCCAAAGGAGUGCCAGGAAGUUCUGACCAACGCACACCCAUAUUUUGUGGAAGUAAUUGAUCGGGCCAAUGUCAAGACUGAUUUAGAAGAGAGGGACAUGACAUUGGUGCUCUUCUAUUUAGAGGCUCUCUUGACUUUGCAGCACCUACAGAAGCCAAGUGUCCUUCUGAACAUGACUGUUCAACAGUGGCUGGAAAGGACACGUUACCAGGGACACGCUACAGGCAGCGUAGCAGCUGUCAUAAAGGUGAAGGCUGAAAGAGAGCAUAUCAUAGUCCUUCAAGAAGCAGAAGAGAUGUGGUUUGACACCUUCUUCAGAAGAAUACGACCAAUUUUUAUCAAGAGAAACUUGAAAGGAGAAAACGAAAUUUUUUUGUCUCCAGUAAAGGACAAAAAAUCAAGAACCCAACAUCCGAUGUCCGCAGAUUUCAAGAAAGGUUUGAUGCUUGUUUGGCCAGCGGGCAGGAAACACUGGACAUUUUUACAAAAGUCAUCAGUGACAGCAACUUGAGGGACCAGGAUCUCAUUAAAAGAUAUCUGAAGGCAGAUUCCAGUCGGGAUGAGAGCAGCAUUGAUGACUAUAUACGUGCUGCCAUCAGAGUGAGUGAGCUGCAGAGGACAUGGGUCGAACCCUCACACUCAAGAGAGGGUGAGCAUUCGGGUGAGCAUUCGGCACACCAAUCAGAAAAAGAAUUAGCAUACAAGAACCUGGAGGAAAUAUAUCCAGUGGAGCCUGACACCGAUGGCCCAAGACUGAAAGAAUGCCAGGCAGUUUCAGAAUUACACGGGAGAUACUGCUACGACAGAUGGAGGAGGCGACAGAAACAGAUCCGUAUGGAUGUCAUCAU